rnacentral:rRNA from 1 species
AAUGGGGGCAACCCUGACGCAGCAAUACCGCGUGAGUGAAGAAGGUUUUCGGAUCGUAAAGCUCUGUUAUUGGGGAAGAAAAAAGACGGUACCCAAGAAGAAAGUCCCGGCUAACUACGUGCCAGCAGCCGCGGUAAUACGUAGGGGACAAGCGUUGUCCGGAUUUACUGGGCGUAAAGGGCACGCAGGCGGUUUUUUAAGUCAGAUGUGAAAGGUACCGGCUCAACCGGUGACAUGCAUUUGAAACUGAAAGACUUGAGUAUUGGAGAGGCAAGUGGAAUUCCUAGUGUAGCGGUGAAAUGCGUAGAUAUUAGGAGGAACACCGGUGGCGAAGGCGGCUUGCUGGACAAAUACUGACGCUGAGGUGCGAAAGCGUGGGGAGCAAA